rnacentral:rRNA from 1 species
ACACAUGCAAGUCGAGCGGUAACAGGUCCAGCUUGCUGGACGCUGACGAGCGGCGGACGGGUGAGUAAUGCAUAGGAAUCUACCCAGUUCGUGGGGGAUAACCUGGGGAAACCCAGGCUAAUACCGCAUACGUCCUACGGGAGAAAGCGGGGGCUCUUCGGACCUCGCGCGAUUGGAUGAGCCUAUGUCGGAUUAGCUGGUUGGUGGGGUAACGGCUCACCAAGGCGACGAUCCGUAGCUGGUCUGAGAGGAUGAUCAGCCACACUGGGUUUGAGCCCCGGCCCAGAUUCCUUCGGGAGGCAGCAGUGGGGAAUUUUUGGCAAUGGGGGAAAGCCUUAUCCCGCCAUUCCGCUUGUUUGAAGAAGGCUUUCGGGUUGUAAAGCAUUUUCAGUGGGGAAGAAGGCUUGUUGGCCAAUACCCGGCAAGAGGGACUUCACCCACAGAAGAAGCCCCGGCUAACUCCGUGCCAGCAGCCGCGGUAAUACGGAGGGUGCAAGCGUUAAUUGGAAUUACUGGGCGUAAAGCGCGCGUAGGGGGCUUGUCACGCCGGGUGUGAAAGCCCCGGGCUCAACCUGGGAACGGCAUCCGGAACGGGCAGGCUAGAGUGCAGGAGAGGAAGGUAGAAUUCCCGGUGUAGCGGUGAAAUGCGUAGAGAUCGGGAGGAAUACCAGUGGCGAAGGCGGCCUUCUGGACUGACACUGACGCUGAGGUGCGAAAGCGUGGGUAGCAAACAGGAUUAGAUACCCUGGUAGUCCACGCCGUAAACGAUGUCGACUAGCCGUUGGGUCCCUUGAGGACUUAGUGGCGCAGUUAACGCGAUAAGUCGACCGCCUGGGGAGUACGGCCGCAAGGUUAAAACUCAAAUGAAUUGACGGGGGCCCGCACAAGCGGUGGAGCAUGUGGUUUAAUUCGAUGCAACGCGAAGAACCUUACCUACCCUUGACAUCCUGCGAACCCGGAAGAGAUUCCGGGGUGCCUUCGGGAGCGCAGAGACAGGUGCUGCAUGGCUUUCGUCAGCUCGUGUUGUGAAAUGUUGGGUUAAGUCCCGUAACGAGCGCAACCCUUGUCCCUAUUUGCCAGCGAUUCGGUCGGGAACUCUAGGGAGACUGCCGGUGACAAACCGGAGGAAGGUGGGGACGACGUCCAGUCAUCAUGGCCCUUACGGGUAGGGCUACACACGUGCUACAAUGGCCGGUACAAAGGGUUGCGAAGCCGCGAGGUGAAGCCAAUCCCAGAAAAGCCGGCCUCAGUCCGGAUUGGAGUCUGCAACUCGACUCCAUGAAGUCGGAAUCGCUAGUAAUCGUGCAUCAGAAUGGCACGGUGAAUACGUUCCCGGGCCUUGUACACACCGCCCGUCACACCAUGGGAUAGGACUGCACCAGAAGUGGUUAGCCUAACUUCGGAGGGCG